AGCAACCUGCCCUGGACUCUGGGAUAAGCGCUGGAAACGGCGUCUAAUACUGGAUAUGAGCCUCUUCCGCAUGGUGGGGGUUGGAAAGAUUUUUUGGUCUGGGAUGGGCUCGCGGCCUAUCAGCUUGUUGGUGAGGUAAUGGCUCACCAAGGCGUCGACGGGUAGCCGGCCUGAGAGGGUGACCGGCCACACUGGGACUGAGACACGGCCCAGACUCCUACGGGAGGCAGCAGUGGGGAAUAUUGCACAAUGGGCGGAAGCCUGAUGCAGCAACGCCGCGUGAGGGAUGACGGCCUUCGGGUUGUAAACCUCUUUUAGCAGGGAAGAAGCGAAAGUGACGGUACCUGCAGAAAAAGCGCCGGCUAACUACGUGCCAGCAGCCGCGGUAAUACGUAGGGCGCAAGCGUUAUCCGGAAUUAUUGGGCGUAAAGAGCUCGUAGGCGGUUUGUCGCGUCUGCUGUGAAAUCCCGAGGCUCAACCUCGGGCCUGCAGUGGGUACGGGCAGACUAGAGUGCGGUAGGGGAGAUUGGAAUUCCUGGUGUAGCGGUGGAAUGCGCAGAUAUCAGGAGGAACACCGAUGGC
rnacentral:rRNA from 1 species